CCUGCCAGCAAGGCUGCAUUCAGGCUCUGCAGCCAGAGCCUGGGAUUGUUGUUGGAGACGUGGCAGGUUUGUUUGCUCCCAAGCCCUCCGAGAAAUCUCAACAAUCAAUGGCCAACAACACUCUGCCUGCAGCUGCAGCAUCGAUCCUAUCCCCCAAAGGGCUGGUGGCUGGAUGGCAGGCUAGAGGAGACAGAGUCCCGGCUGAUGCAGGACCUUCCAAAAUGGGCAGGCACUUUGGGGAAUCCUUUCUGUUCACUAGCUAGGCAGCCCAGGGUGAAAAACUAGGCUUGGCAACGGUGAAUUUCACACUGAAGGCUCCAGAGAGUGGCGGUCUAGCGAAGCCAAGGGCAUGGUAGGCUGGGCUCUUCACCAUCUGACUGGGAGGCUCCUUUACCGAGGCUACUCCUGUCUAUUGCUCCCUUUUCUCUCUGGGGAGAUUGGAGGGUGGUAUAAUGAACCCUGAUAGUUCUUCCCUAAUGGGGGUGCAGGAUUCCUAAGCUGAGCCCCCCACUGAGAAGAUGGGCUUAACUGGAGCUAGGAGAGACAAGAGAGCUUGAACACAGAAGGGCUGGAGGAGGCUGGAGGGCCUGGGACUGAAUGAGAGACAGGGUAAGGAGGCAGCCUUUCUGACUUGCGCCCUCUGUUCAGGCAGGCACGUGGGGGGGCAUGGAAGCUCAGUUUCUAAUUAAGCUCAGUCCCAUUGUCUUCUUGCUCCCCAUUAGUGCCCCUACAGCAUCCCCAAGGCAUUUUAAGCUGCCACCCUGCUGAGGAGGCUGGGAUGGCCGCCAGGGCCUGCCAAGCUUGAUUCGCUUAGGCCCGUGAGGGGCAAAAAGCCAACUCAGAGUUCUCCUCCUCUCAGGGCGGUCUACUCAGAAACCCAGCAGGGGUUCCCUGCCUGCCACGUCCACCUCUGGGCCUCUGAGUGGAAUCCAAGCUACUUCUCACCCACCGGCCUUUGUCCCCAGCAAAAGCCAUCAUCCUGAAGCUCCAGGCUAGAGAACAGGAGGCAAGGAUGCUUGCUUCUGAGGCAGCCCCCAGACUCACCAAUGUGCUGUCAGAAGCCAGCACCAACCGGAGUUCCACCUGCAAGCGUGAUCAGCAUUUUAGCUUAAGUCAGUCCUAGGCUGUUAGCCCUUGCAUCAGUGGGGAUCCUGGAAGCCAAAUCCUUCCCCCUUUUUUUCUCCCACACACUAUUCCCCCAGUUUCUGGAAGAAUAAGCAACUGAGGUUUGCUAUUUCUGGUUUCCCCCAUCUUUCUACCACACUCUGAAGAGAGCAGGGAGAGAUGGAACCCUGGGUCCAAGGUCACAUAACUACGGAGGCAGCUUCUGUACCUGGAGACCUAAUCCCACCCCAGUCUUGGCUGCUUUUACCUUCACAAUCUCCCCAGGCCACAUGCACACACGCAGAGUUUAAUUAACUUUAUUGAUAUUCAGAAAUUAAGAGAAUGACUAAAGGUAAUUGCUCAUUAAAAAUCAUUAAACUGACACAGCAGGCCUAGGCAGGCACAGCUCCUGCAGAACUGUCUUCUCCCCCACUGUGGCAAGACCUCCCUGGCACUUCCCAUGGGUUGGGAGGACGCCCCAUGGUCUGUAAUGCCUGUCAUACCUGCAACCGAUUACAACUAAGAGGCCAAAAAUGAAAAAGGGAAUUGAGCCUUUGGGUCGGGGGGCACUACUCAUCUAUCUCCUUGGUUUUCAGGGCCUCUGCCUCCCCUGAACUACUGAAGGUUGAAGGUUCAGACUACGGCUGACUGCAUCCUGUGGCCUGAGUCCCUCUUUUGAGCAAAGCUCUAAGGUCUCCCCAGGCUGCCAGGCUGCAGGGAUGCAUCUUCUGGCCAAAAGACUUACAACCUAAGGCCUUGACUCCUCCAGUCUCUCCUUUACUAAAGUCUCCAGGAACCCCAGAUAGCCAAGGGAGCUACUUCCCAAAUGAGACCUUAAUGAGUAACCGUCCAUCUAAGUUGUAGAGGUAGGGGCCUGCUGGCCACCCAGCUCUGGGUUCAGACUCUCUUCCCUACCAAGCUUGCCACUGCUUCCAAGUCCUCUCUUUCUACCUAUGAAACCCACCAGACAGGCAAUCCCACAGCCCCGGAGAAUCUAAUGAGUCAUAGAAGGACACUGCUGGGGACACAGACAUUUGGCCAGAGAGGGUAAAUUCCUCCCAACCAGAACCUCCACACCUCCAGGCCAGACUUACCAGCUUUCUAAUGCAGACCUGUGGUCUCUUUCCAACCUGCAAGGAGCUAGCAAGCAGAGGUUACACCUGCACACUAGUGGCUUAACUGAUGAAUUGUCACCCAACACUCAGAGCAGACAUCCUGGGACCUACAGAAUCCAGGCCACAUUCAUACCCUCAGACAAGAACUCCCAUUCCAGAGAACCCAUACAGACUCUGUGCUCCAAGGAAGGAGCCAGUAUGUGACCAGACCCCAUACAGGUCCCGAAUACAGAGAGAGAUAUCCUUAAUUUAUUGGCGGCGGCGGGGGUGGGGUGGGGUGGGGUGGGGAGGUGGGUGUUCUUUUCAUCCCUUCUCAAGAGUGGGGCUUGUGAAAUUCUUCCUCCUCCUAGCAAGGUAAACAUAUGAUCCCAAGUUUUCCUAGCCCCAGGAGGAGCCAGUAUGAGCAGCCAGAUGAGUUGGGCAAAGACUCGGUCUGCUUGUGGGUAGAGGUAGAGGUUCAAAGACGUGCUCCCGAGCCUCUAGGGCAGGAGAACAGUUGCUUGGUACCAGCUCAGCGACGGGCUGAUCUGACCUCCAAACUCUCGGCCUAGGAAGAUGGAGUCUGAAGGUUAGAAAUUCCCCUCCCUCCAUCCUCCACAGCAGACGCUAAGAACCAUAACCAUAUGGCAAGAGACUUCGAGUCCCAAGUCCAAGUGUGGUUUCGCGGACCCCACCAAGCGACCAGUAAAAGCGGAGGACGCGAGCAAUUGUAGACUCUGAGACUGCUUGCUUCAGAUUAGAUUUGCUUCCUUUCUGCUUUCCAAUCAUCUUUCCUCCAAACUCCCUGUUGCCUACUCCAAGGCCAAGCUUUUCUAAACCGAGACCAAUGAAGUUGGGACUUCACUCGAGUCGGGGGCUGGGGCAAACGGUGAGCUCGGCCACCUAGUCUGCCACUCCGGGGUCGAUAGGACCCGGCAGGACGGCAGAGCCGAAGGGAGGCAGCCUCCGGGCGUGUGCGUGUGUGUGCGCGCAAUAAAAGAAUUUCGGAGAGGACAGCCGGUCCCAGGACCUCAGUCGCUGCAGCCCAGCGAAGAACGAGGGGACAAACAGAAGGCUCCCGGGGUCCCCGAAUGUCUCCCCAGAAUUGUGCUCUAGGUUCCAAUUCUGACAUGACAGUGCCAAGGCGAAGAGAGGUGGGUGAGAGAUGUCCCAAUCCCGGGUCCCGCCACCACCCUGCCAGGUUGGUUCUUCUGCAGUGAGGAUGCGAGGGGCCCCAGACUCAGCGGCAAAGUCGAGCGAAGUUUGGAGAACGGCAGGGGAGGCAGAACGGCGGGCUGCCAGCUGGACUGUCCGGACUCUGCACCCGCGAGCUCCCCCACCCCCCGCAGCGCGCCCCGGCGCCCCUAGACGCCUGGAGUGGAGCGAGGCAGCGCGCGGGUGAGCGUGUGUGUGCGGGGAGGGGGUGGCGUGAUGAAUUGCAGCAGAGAAAUCCCAUUAGAUCCGGGGAGAU